GGGGUCGACAUGGAAUUGACAGCUUGUGCAAGUCGCGAGUAAGCGUGUCGGGAGUUGGAUGAAUCUCCCGUUAAAAAGUCGUCCGAACAAUAACUGGCGAGUAUUCCUACGCCAUGGCUGCCUAGUCUAGGUACUAAGUAAUGCCAUCGUCCCGCAUCCGUUUUCUUUUACACGGGUGAGUUCGGGGCGUCGUAAGUAAAAGAUAGCCACGUGGGAGGUGUGACCACGCGGCGAAACCUAACUGCAUCUACGGGUAGACUAAAGGCCUGAUGUGCGCCCGGGCUACCCCGACAAUCCAAGCAUAGAUACACACGUAGAAAGCCCGACGCCUUCCUUGUCUGGACCAGGGUUCGAAUCCCUGCGACUCCACAA
rnacentral:tmRNA from 1 species